AUACUUUAAGUUUUAGGGUCUGAGGUACCGGGUUCAUCUCACUAGGGAGUGCCAGAAAGGAGCUUUUUUCUUACAGAGAAAUUCCAAAAUAUAUGCUACUGGAAAUGGAGGGCAAACUGCCCAACUCACAGGAUAUUAGAAGGGGUAUACUUGAAUUAUGUGGUUAAGGAUUUAUGGUUGAAAGUAACAGUAGCCCAAAGUUGAGUUUCCCUGAGUGUAGGUAGAUUCUUCCUCAAGGAAGAACUUGAAGGGCAAGACCAGUUAUAGGAGGCUCUGGUUUCCCUGGAGUGUAGUUAACUCCUUUCAAUUCUCCUAACCAUUAAGACUGAAUGUUAAUGUCUGCUAGCAUCUGCAGUAUGAACUAAAUUGUCACAAAACUACCACAUGCUAUGAUUCUUUACUUACUCAAACUCUGCUAUAGCCUAAGGUCUCUCUUCAUGCAGGGGCUUCCAUUGAGAACAGUGUGGAUUUAGUAAUACAUUUAAUUGGAAUGUUUAAUAAGAAGUUAGAGCCUUUUUUUAAUCUUGGAAAAGGCAUCAAUCUUGAGAACACCAGAUGUGAAUAUCAUUUUAACAAGAGAAUUUUCACUUUGCUUGUAUCUUCCAAAGCAUGGAGAUUCUCCUUUGAAGAUAUUCAUUCUAUAGAAUAUUGUCAGCAAUAUAAAGGUAGAAGAAUAGUUGAGUUUGACUACAGAUAAGCCAGGUUAAAAAUACAGAAAGCACUUGAUGAAAAUCAUGAGUUGUUAGGAUUCAAAUUAUAGAGCUCCAAUAAGGACCCCUGAACACUGAUUUUUCAGGCACAUUACCAAAGGUACUAUACUGAGGUGGUAUAUGAUGUCACUUGGUGGGCUUCACUCAAGUGUUCAUUUGAAGUUUGAUUCCUUACUCACCUACCAUAACUGAUUGAUAGAAACAUAGAUCUCCAAUUGACUUUAGUUUCUGCUCCACAGAUCUGUUAUGAAUCUCACUGAGAAUCUAAGAUACAGUUGUAAAGUAUAGUUGAAGAGUUUUGGUUUCUAUGUAUAGUCCAACUAAGCACCUCAGAGCACUGAUUGCCAAUUGCAAUCCUCUAAGUUGUGUUGAGAAAAGAAAAAUAAGUUAUUUCACCUUCAGUUUCCAUGAAAUAGGAUGAAGUUACUAUAAUCAGGAAAAAUGCUGUAAGGUUUUCCAGUUUUGAGGAUAAAAUUGCUCAUUAAAAUCUGUGAUGUGUAGCACUUUAAUGAAUGUUAGCCACAUUUUAAGGCUAUUGUUAUAUAGCUCUUAGUGUUCCCAGGAUUCCUAAUAAAGAGCAAAAUUAUCUAAACUAUUUAAUGAUUACUAGUGGGUAUUGGCCCUUUUCUGUCCUCUCUUCAUUGUGUCAAUAAAAUAGAGUUGUGCAGAGCUGCUCUAAUCAGCUUAGAGUGCUAAUUCAUUGCGCCGGGAUGCUAUCUGUGUUUGGCUACAGGAUUAAAAAUGCUAUAACAUCUUGUUUUUAUUGUUUUCUAACAAUAUUUUAAUUUUUUACUUUGAUUUACAUUGAGAUUAAUUCCACUCUCAAUGGAAAAUCUUCAGGACUUUAUAACUCACGUUGUUAUGUAAUAACUAUAAGCAGAUAACUGAGUUGGAGGCAAUUUUAGCAUUAGCUAUCUCUUAUAAACAGCCAAAUCCUUUGGCCAUGCUUAGGCUUAUGUAGCAUGAAUUAUUCAAUGAGAAGGAAAAAAGCAGUGUUUUAGCAACUUGUUUUGGUGAUUUUUAUUUUUAUGAAAAUAAAUUGUAGCCUCGUGGGAUAAAUCAACAAUGUAACUUCCCUUUUGGGGAGAGGCUCUAAGUCACAUCAGCAUAGUUUUGGUCCAGACAGCAAAGCUCUAACCCUCAUUCAGCUCAAAUGGGCCACCAAAGAGAGCAGAGAGAGAUAAGAUUGUGUACUUGAGAGGGACAUUUUUAAUCAAGAAAUUGUCAUCUCUUCUUAGGUCAUCUAUUUCCCUAAUUCUUUUCUGCGUUGAAUAGCUUCGUUGCAAGAAAAAUGUUGGUGAAAUGAUUUGGUCCUGAGUCCUAUUGCAGAAUGCUCUGAGUAUGGGCUCAAAUGCCUAUUGGACAAAAUGAAGUUGGUUUGUCUUUACUGUUUAUUAUGAUUGUCACUUCUAAGCUUUACUAUGAUGUUUAUGAUUAUUUCACUCCCUGAAUGAAUAGGAUAUGAAAUUAGACAUUAAAAAUUUUAGUGGUGGAAUAAAAUUGUUGGUUUGGUUUUUCUGCUACCACUAACUCUUAAGGCCAUACUUUUCCCCCCAACAAGUUUCAGAAAAAAAAUAUUGCAAGGAAUAUUUAUGUGCUUUGAGUUUUUACGUUAGACAACUCCACAGUUAAACUACCACAUCAGAGUCAAGAAGAUAAUUUCAUAGUAAAGUUAGCUAAUUACUGAGAUAGCUCCUUUAAUAUGUGACUCCCACUUGUAGAUACCUAGCCCACAUAUGUCUUUUCUGGUGUGAGAGAUUGUUUUUAUAAAAUUGUUAAAAAUGACCGGUUUUAAGAAAUUAUUAACUUCCAUUAAUAUAUUUCUUUAAAUCUAACUCAGUGAUCUUCUAUUAGAACUCAAUUAUUUUCUGCCUUACAGGAAAAUCUACUUGUUUUAAAUAUUAGUAACUACGGCUAUGUAAAAUGAAAUGUAAAAGAAACAAAACGUAUCAGAUUUGAAUGAUUCUCCUUUCCCUGUUUUAGCUAAAAAAUAAAAAUAAAAACAUCACUUUUACUUAGUUCUGUAGUUGGCCUCCACAAAACAAUUUCUAGAAUAAAUGCUUAUCCUUCCUAAAUAAGAGGUCAUUGUUGCAGUUUUCCGUGAAUCAAAGAUGAAUAGGGUCCAUCUAUUAUCAAUUCCUCAAUCAGAGAAAAAAGGAAAUUAAGUUCCUAAUUAGGUGAAUUUGGACUAAAGAGGUGGGGCAUUGAAGGGAUAAGGAAAAUUGAGAGGUAGUUGAUGCCAUUUCAGACUAAUGAUAGGAGAGGAAAUGAAGAUGGGGGUGGUAGGAGUUGAGCUUGAAAGUUCUGUUAAAAUAUGCUGCUUUUGUUGGCUGCUUAUGUAAAGGUGUUGACAUGUGAAGUGUAAGAGAAUAACAAGCACAAAACCAACUAACAACCAAAUAAACAAAAUAGGGAAUUGUUCAGAUAGUCUUGAAACUUUGAAUGUUGAAGGAAUACCACUCAGACAAUAUCUGCAAUUAAGCCCCACCUGACAGGGCUAGUAAAAUGCUGCCGAUUACAAUUUAUCUAGAAAGCAUAGACGGGAAAUAUACAGGUCUUCUUUUACAGAAUUGGCAGCUGAUGGUUAUUGAACCUGAGCUAACAUUCCCAAAUGAAAUGAGGUGGGGCAAUUUGAGUCAUAUGAUAACAAUGUUGUCAUCCUGGAGAACAGUCUCGAGGCCUGUCAUCCACACAGAAUUUCUAAUAGAAAUUUUCUUUUUCAAAGUGAACUCAUCUACAUUUGAAUCAGAAGAAGGGAAGGUGAAGGGAUCAAAGGUUGACAGGAAGCCUAUGGACCAGAAAUCAAAGAUCUGGUUGCCCCCAUAUCUGCAUAAUUGCUCCUCAAAUUUCAGACAGUGGCCUUGGCCGUUCACUAUGCAGUGGUUUUUGUUUUAGAAACCUCAUUCUGACUAAACUCAUAGAUUAUGCUGAGUGGAUCAUGCUUAGUCAGUAGUUUCAGAUGAUAAUGAUUGCAUAACUAUAAAAGGUUCCUUUGAGAGAUCAUCCUGUUUAACCCUUCAUUUUACUGAUGAGGCAAGUGGGUCCCAGAGAGGCUCAAGGUCAUUUGCUAGUUGGUGGCAAAACAAAGCCUAGAAUUCAGGCUUCUUGACACUCAGGGCUUUCACUGGGACUCCUCUCUGUAGAAUAUUUAAGGUUACCCCAUUUACAUCUCUUCUUAUUUGUCCCGCUUGAGCACUUUAUACUCUUUUUAGAAAUGUGAGAAACACACUGUAGUUGAUGUAGUUUUUUUCAAAAUAUAGAGAAGGUUUACAUUUAGCUCUAUCUGGGAAACAUUCUGAGAGAUUUUCUAUAAAUAACCCCUCACUAUAUUACAACUUCCAGGACACUAUGCCUAAAGUGAUAAUUUUACACAAAAAACACAUAUAUGUCAUUUACAUGAUAUAGACACACAUCCAUACACACGCAGUAUAGUAUUCCAACUUAUGUUCCUUUAAAAAGUAAAUGGCUACGAAGCUACCAAAAUGUAGUAUUUUCCUUUUAUUCAUUACAAAGAUCAAUCUUUUAUUUUUUAUCCCAAAGGAAAAUACUAAUAUUUAUAAUAUUUAUCAAAAUGCAAUGAGAUUUUAUAUUAUUUCCAACAAUUUUAAGAACUCGCCAAUUUUAUGUCUUCAGGUUAGAAAAAUAAGUUAUUUUGUAUUAGAAAAGCAAUACUUUGAGUCUCCUUUGGUAAGUUUAAAGCAAAAGUUUGUUGGCAUUUUGAAUGUCAACAAUGUUUAAUAAUUUCAAGGAUGGUACUGCAAAAUGUUUGACUAAUUUAAGUAUGUUCCAACCAUAAGCAUUUUAUCUCCUUAACAUGUCAGGUUGGUCCCUUAAAAAGAUUUAUUGAAAUUAAUAUGUUCUGUAGAGUUGAGCGCCAGUGUAUAUUUUUACAUAUGGAGAAGUAAAUUUAAAAUUGUACAGUACAUAAAAGGUUUUGAAAACAGUUAUAAAGACUUAUUUAGGCAGUGAUUUAAAUUUAAAUUAACAGCAACACUGACAAUUUUCUAUUUGUUUAGCUAUUAACGAAGCUAUUUAACAAAAUGUUUUGUAGACUCCAGUUCUUAGACUUUUUUUCUUUUUUAAAAAAAUACAACAUUCCUUUUUGAUUCUGGCGAGUCAGGAGGAAUUCCUACUCUGAAGACAGAGCCAGAGUACAGAGUUAAUGUGCAGCAGUGGCCUUCUUCCUUGGACCCUAAGAUGCUGGAGCCACUCACUGCACUUUUCAAGCAGCUGCCAACAUUGUCAGCACUGAUCUGUCAGUAAGGAUUUCUCCUGGCAAAACUCUGAAGCUACUUUCUGACAUCUUCAACAAACUAAUUGUUGUCUCCUGCCUCUGCGAGCCCUCUGAAGUCCCAACGAGUUAGUGUCUUCUCAAGAGAUGAGAAAAAGGACUCACAAAAUCAACUUAUCAGGCUAUUACGCAUUGUCAUCAGCCAAAACAAAAACCUGCUAAAGACAGGAGAAAAAGUAGAAGAAAUGGGUCUCUGAGAAAAGGUUACAGAACAUCCAUCUUCUCUCCUCUUCUGAUUGUUUCCUUUCUUUGCCCAUUUUCAUACCCGUUUCCCUCUGUUAAAAGACACUUUAUGACAAGCAUUGUAAUCUCUUUAGAACGGAGGGGAACCUCUUCUUUAGGACACAAUCUUUGCAAGUUGUGAGUGACAGUGGGAAAGGGUCCAAUUGCCACUGAGGACACCAGGCAAUAAAUCAUCCUCCCCUGGCAUCAGCUGGCUGGACGAAUCCCCACUUCCUGAGUAAGUACCAGGGCCUAGAUGUGACAAAACAGCUAUUGUCAGCUCCUAGUGGCCACAUUCCCACUUUCUCUCUACUGAGAUUUUCCGUUUACUCGAGACUUUUAGUAGUGCAAACCAUAUUGGGAAGAAAUAUUCAAAUAACUACCAUUAGAAAGUGAAAUAUCUGAGAGUUGGAUAAUUAUAAUAUUCAUCUAAGAGCAACAAUUAUUAGAGGAAACCUUCUGUUUUCAUUUUACAUAUCAUCAAGCAGUUGCUUUAUCACCAUUAAAAGUGGCAUGUCUUUUCAUUUUUUAAAUGUUUGAUAUAUAGAGUAGUUCUCAAAAUGACUUUAUAAGAGCAAUGUGCAAAAGAUCAGGUAAAAAUUUUAUAAAUAAUAUGAAAAGAUAGAUUGCUGUAGUGAUAAUUUUAUAAUUUGGUAGAGUUAGGGCAUUUUCAAAUAGACACUUUUCUUUGCAGUGAUUAAGUUUAGAUAUACUAUUAUUAUUAAUAUGCUUGUAAAAUACUGUAAGGGGUAAGCUGAGUUCCAGUUAUUUCAUGUGUAGUUAAAAACCAUUCAAAAAUCCCA
rnacentral:lncRNA from 1 species